rnacentral:lncRNA from 10 species
ACAGGCACAAGAGGGCAGCAGUGAGGAAUUGUACUGUAUCUGCAGAACACCUUAUGAUGAGUCACAAUGCUUGAAGGCAGCAUGCUCCUUAAGAGUCAUCACCACUCCCUAAUCUCAAGUGCCCAGGGACACAACCACUGUGGAAGGCCGCAGGGACCUCUGCCUAGGAAAGCCAGAGACCUUUGUUCACGUGUUUAUCUGCUGACCUUCUCUCCACUAUUAUCCCAUGACCCUGCCACAUCCCCCUCUCCGAGAAACACCCAA